UCAGUAGAUUCAUACUAACUUAUUCUACAUUGAACUCUCUCAAAGUUCCACACUCUCAACUGUCUCUCUUAACUCCUGACUCUCUAACUGCCUUCUCACGUCAGCCUCUCCUCUGACUCUCCAACUGCUCCAAAGUCCAAAGAAUUGAAUCGCUGUCGGUGGUGCAUACAGCACAUGUUCUUUGGAAAAUAAAUUCUAAAACACUUCAGCAUGAUGGAAAGAGAGAAUCAGGAUGUGGCCCCCAAUGUUGUUUGAUUGCAACUUUCAUCAGCCCUGGCUAGUAUAACCAUGGAAAGAGUUUGUGGCUAUUGCAUCUGACCAUACAUAAAUAUUUCAAGGGAUACCUGGUUCCCAUCUUUGCUUUAGGUUUGUAAAUUGUUUUCUAAUCUAUAAGAGUAAAUGGGACUCUGAAUAUUAGGAAAUAUUAUUAAAGAUAUUUAGAACUCUCAAAUUCAGAUUUGGAUAUAUUUGGAACUAUCUGAAUAGAGAAUUGUUCAGUAAAUU
rnacentral:lncRNA from 1 species